rnacentral:rRNA from 1 species
UACGGAAGGUCCGGGCGUUAUCCGGAUUUAUUGGGUUUAAAGGGAGCGCAGGCUGCCGGUUAAGCGUGACGUGAAAUGCCGAGGCUCAACCUUGGCACUGCGUCGCGAACUGUCCGGCUUGAGUACGCGGUAAGUCGGCGGAAUUCGUGGUGUAGCGGUGAAAUGCUUAGAUAUCACGAGGAACUCCGAUUGCGAAGGCAGCUGGCUGUUGCGUUACUGACGCUCAUGCUCGAAGGCGCGGGUAUCGAACAGG